rnacentral:rRNA from 1 species
GAUUUCUGGUUCGAUGCGUUUGGCCCUCUCGGAGCAAUCCGGCGUGCGUGCCGAUGCGCGUCUGCCAUCCCUUGUAGAGAACGUUUCUACCCUUCACUGGGCCGGAUGCGCGAUCCAGAUCAUUUACUUUGAAAAAAUUAGAGUGUUUAAAGCAGGCUUUUUGCUAUGAAUACAUUAGCAUGGAAUAAUAAUUUAGGACUUUGGCCCUAUUUUGUUGGUUUCUAGGACUGAAGUAAUGAUUGAUAGGGAUAGUUGGGGGUGCUCGAAUUCAGCGGCCAGAGGUGAAAUUCUUGGAUUCGCUGAAGACGAACUCAUGCGAAAGCAUU